GAGCCAGACUCCUACGGGAGGCAGCAGUGAGGAAUAUUGGUCAAUGGGCGCGAGCCUGAACCAGCCAAGUCGCGUGAGGGAAGACGGUCCUAUGGAUUGUAAACCUCUUUUGUCGGGGAGCAAAAGACGCCACGCGUGGCGUUCCGAGAGUACCCGGAGAAAAAGCAUCGGCUAACUCCGUGCCAGCAGCCGCGGUAAUACGGAGGAUGCGAGCGUUAUCCGGAUUUAUUGGGUUUAAAGGGUGCGUAGGCGGGAUGCCAAGGCAGCGGUAAAAUGCGGUGCUCAACGCCGUCGAGCCGUUGAAACUGGCGUUCUUGAGUGGGCGAGAAGUAUGCGGAAUGCGUGGUGUAGCGGUGAAAUGCAUAGAUAUCACGCAGAACUCCGAUUGCGAAGGCAGCAUACCGGCGCCCGACUGACGCUGAGGCACGAAAGCGUGGGUAUCGAACAGGAUUAGAUACCCGAGUA
rnacentral:rRNA from 1 species